UUUCUCACUUCGUGCACUCCGUCGUCCCCCCCGCGUCCAUCUCUCUCUCUCUCUCUCACACACACAAGGCCAUUUUCGCGUGAGAGCUUCCCCCCUUCUUAAAAGACUUUCUCAGAAGCAAAAGUGAAGGGAGAAGCAACAAAAAAUUCUGGUCUUCGAUUUCGUUUUCUCUCAUUCUGGUCUUGCCUUACAAGCAAGGGUUGCUUGCGUGCUUGGGGUUUAGCUCAAAGGGUUAUGGAGCCAUGAACGGAUUUGCCAGAGCUUUAAACCCAGUUUCCUCCAGGAUUCUCUGGAGAUCAGAUGGUGAUGAUUGGGGAUGGGUGUUUGGACAAGUUCGAUAUGAAAAAUGCUUCUUGCAACCGACUUUUGCAACCGGUGGAAAAUCGCCACGUCAUUAAAUAAAACGCAGUGUUUUAUUUUAUAUUAUUGUAGGCUGGAGAAGAAAAUAAGAGUAAGUUAGACAAAAGAAAUGAAAGGGAGAAAAAAAAAAAGGAGAAGUAGAACGUCAACUACCUUCUCAUCUAAUGUGGUUUUCAGUACCUCUUUCUCUCUCAGAUCCCAAUCGUCUCUCCCUCUCUUUAGAGUGACCAGCACAGACCCAUCAUGGCCCUAUGGCCAAGUUCAUCACGAACUCUGAAAAUCUCCUUUAAUAUAUGCAAAACUUCUUGUAUUGGUUGAUUUGGGCAUUGACGGGUUGUUUCAACUUUGUUGUCUUUUAAUUUUCAUGGUCUUCUUCCUUUCCUUCGAAAUGGAUUUUGGCAUGGCUUCAACACCACCUUUCUGUCGAAAUGCCCUCACUCAAACAACGUUCUUCUUCCCAGAUGAUUGGAAUGCUUACAGUGUAAAUUAUGGCUUUGGAAUCGCCCCAAAAGAUGUUUGGUGGAAACAAUAUAUGGGAGCGCGCAGCAGAGACUUGGCCUCCUUGAAGUCGAGCUGGUUGCCAAAGCUGACAUAGGCCCCGUACGAGAGCUGGCUCACCUUCAACCGCAAGUUCUUGUACUUCAUUUUUAUUUCUUUUUUUUUUUCUCGCUUCUUUACGAAGAAUUGCUUUGCUUUGCUUGAGUAAGGAAAGUGACUUGUUGUUUAUCUUCCAACUUCUAUUUCUUGUACUUCCAGCCGUUUACAUUGCAGUAGGCAAAGUUCCAUUUUUAUUACUUUUGAGAGUCUUGACUUGA